AGAAUAAUAUAAACCAAAACGCGCGGGUAAAACUGCUGUAGUGAGACUGCGCAUGCGCGGGGUGAAACUGUGGCUCUGCAGUCAGAACCUUCUCCAGUUGCGUGCAGUUUAUGGUCUGGGUCGGGAUCGGACAGAACGUUGAACGAGCCCGGGUAAGGUCGUGUUGGAUUUUUUUGGGCCCAUUGUAAGCUCGUGCACCCUGUGAACCUGCUCAGAUUAGAGAUAGAAGAGGAUGACAGUGUUGCCAUACACAUUUAUAAAUUCAGUGUCCGUUUUGCCACAAUGGCUAUAUUUUCUCUUAAAAACCUUCCUAAUGUUAACUUACUAUUUACUACUUGUAUGUAUUUGUUUAUCACAUAUUGUAUUUGUAGCAAUGGUGAGAGCAAUGACUGAUUAAAGAGAAACACUACAUAAGUUAUAGUUUAAAGUGACAACGUUAAUGGAAAUAAUAAUCACUGUCCCCUAUAAAUUCACACCAUUUCCUUUGUAUUUACAGGUGCCCUCUUUCUGGAAUCAUUAACCACUGCAGAAUUUGGUUGUCCAGAGGGAUGAAGCUGAAACAGAGCUUGCAAGUUUCACAAUGGCUGUGUUCGUCAUCAGGGAAGAGGGUGAUUCUCUCCAACCACCACAUGACAUUGGUAUAGUCAUUGAAGGUGUGAAAGUCCUGAACAGGUUGCCAUCAGUCGCACAUGCAUGUGCCAUGUUAUUUGGCCUAAUUUAUGUGCUGAACUUGAGCUAUCCAGGUGAGCUGGAACACACCUUUGAUGCACUACAAAAGUUAUUUAUUGAGAUUGAACCAAAGAAAAUGACACGCAAAGUUCUCAGCCUCAGUGUUAAGCUGUGAAAGUAAAGUAGCAAAGAGAAAUACAUUUAAAUACGUUGUAUUUGGUUCUGUUUUAGAGCUUGUACUCAAAUACAUUGCAGGUUAAUGAAUUACUGUUCAAUGAAAAACACUUUAAACUGAUGUUAAAUUCAAUUUAUUGUGAAGUUUUGUGGUAUAGAUAUUUGGGCACAUCGUUAACAUUAACUUUAAAACAGUUUUACAGUUAUUAAAGGCCUAUUGCAUUACAUUUCUCAGGUUUUACAUAUUUUACUGUUUCAUUGAUUGGUAAUGUGCUCAAUAUUGAUGUGGGACUCUUAAGCACUUGUUUUUUUAUUUUAUUUUUUUGUUAAUCUAGCCAAGUUUGUACAGUGUAGAAACUGUAUUGCACUUAAUUGCUGUUACAAAAAAAGGUCAAACCAUAUUUACUGUCACAGCUGUGGAUGUUACAUGGUCUGCGAACAUGUUUUAAAAGAUAUGUAAUUCUUGCAGAAUUAAAUUUCAGUCCUUUUGAA